GUCCACGCCGUAAACGAUGAGUGCUAGAUGCUGUGGGUAUUGACCCCCGCGGUGUCGCAGCCAACGCGUUAAGCACUCCGCCUGGGGAGUACGGCCGCAAGGCUAAAACUCAAAGGAAUUGACGGGGGCCCCGCACAAGCGGUGGAGCAUGUGGUUCAAUUCGACGCAACGCGCAGAACCUUACCUGGGUUAAAUCCACUCAGACCUUGCAGAGAUGUAGGGGUGCCCUUCGGGGAAUGAGUGAGAAGGUGCUGCAUGGCUGUCGU
rnacentral:rRNA from 1 species